rnacentral:rRNA from 1 species
UGGGGAAUAUUGCACAAUGGGCGCAAGCCUGAUGCAGCCAUGCCGCGUGUGUGAAGAAGGCCUUCGGGUUGUAAAGCACUUUCAGCGGGGAGGAAGGCGGUGAGGUUAAUAACCUCAUCGAUUGACGUUACCCGCAGAAGAAGCACCGGCUAACUCCGUGCCAGCAGCCGCGGUAAUACGGAGGGUGCAAGCGUUAAUCGGAAUUACUGGGCGUAAAGCGCACGCAGGCGGUUGAUUGAGUCAGAUGUGAAAUCCCCGGGCUUAACCCGGGAAUUGCAUCUGAUACUGGUCAGCUAGAGUCUUGUAGAGGGGGGUAGAAUUCCAGGUGUAGCGAUGAAAUGCGUAGAGAUCUGGAGGAAUACCGGUGGCGAAGGCGGCCCCCUGGACAAAGACUGACGCUCAGGUGCGAAAGCGUGGGGAGCAAACAGG